rnacentral:lncRNA from 10 species
ACAGGAAAUAGCAUAAAAUGCUAUUGCAAACCCAUGAUUUUGGUGUAUGGAUAGUGUGUUCAUGUCACUUAUUAAAACCAUGAAACCUCCGGGCCUGGGGAAAGGGAAGCCGUGCAUCCCACUUGACCAGCUCAUACCUCCUUCCUUCUGCACUCAGAAUCAACUGCCCUUUACCUGCUUUCAUGCCUUGAUCACUACUGUUUGGUUCUGAGAUGGUGCUUUUUUCUGGGUGGAAAUUCUGCCUGAAGGGAGCAGGGAAUUUGGUGUUCUAAAUCCAGAACCAGCAAAACUCAAUGAGAGGGGCCUCAUCCCAAUGAACCCAGCACAAACAAACGUGCAACAGUCAGGCCUAUUUUAAAAAGACUUCUCAUCUCUGAACAAAUGAUACCACAUUUUAUGAAACUCAAUUACCUGCACAGUCCUUUGGAGACCCUGAGGCUCCUGAGCCUUCUCCAACUAUCCUAGGCCAUCAGAUUACCCUACUCACACUCUUUAGGAAAUCUGAAGUUUUAGAUUGCUUCCAUCACCUGACUGAGGUCCCAAGAAGGUGGCUAUAUGACAAAAAGGAUCCAGCCUCUGCAACUGCCUAUUCUCCUGGCAGGCCUCACCUGGUGAGGCCACAAAGCAUACGAGUUAAAAGAACACAGUUCCUAGGGACGGUGGCUUUGGUCGGAGUUCUCAUGCCGACACAUAAUAGCUACAUGGCCUGAACUGGUUUUCUAAAACGGGAAAGGCUCAGAGCUCAAGCAAGAUAUGAGCAGACCCCAUGAAAGGUCAACAAAUGCUGGAUAUGGCUAGACAUGUAAGGACACAACUCAGAGCCAUUUCCUUUUCUCAGGUUGUAAAACACAUUUUGAGGCUGGAGUUGGGGAGGUGUGUAGCUAUUUUGAGAUUGGCAAUAAAACUCCAUAAACACCAUUUACCCAUGAAAUUCCCUGACAUGUUAUAAGGAAACUCACCUGAGUAGGAGGAAUCAGGAUAACCCCCCAUUCAAAACUCAGGGAUGUAAAAAUAUAUCACCUGCUGCCCAGACACAGAGGACUGCUAUUGCUAUUUAGCACAAUGUCUGCACAUCCUGUACUUGUAUCUUUCUCUCUCUCUCUCUCUUCCCUGUGUAAGGAAAGGCACACAAAAACAGUUGAAAAAGGAAAGUCAAAAUGGCAUUUCUCCAUUCUCACUAAGCCUGACCUGUCUCUCCUCCUUUCAUUCCUUCACACAAUUAUGUAGAGAAAAAUUUUAAAACAUUUUUAAAAAAUGAGCAAAGUGGCAGCUACUCACCAAUUUGUGUCCUAGGCAAUCCGUUGAACCUUGAUUGUGUGGUGACGAGUGUGCUGCUGCUAUCAGCCUAUAAGCUGACAUCAAAAUGUCUACAAAAACCUGGCCAGGCCCCCUCUCCUGCCCUCCCUCUUCCACCUUACCCAGAAUGAGUGUCCCCUCACCUGAGCUGAGUUGUCUAAGUCCAUAUUCAAUUGAUAAGGAGAAAUGACACUCCAA